UUUUAUCAGAGAGUUUGAUCCUGGCUCAGGAUGAACGCUGGCGGCGUGCUUAACACAUGCAAGUCGAA
rnacentral:rRNA from 1 species